AAUAAACAGUAAAAAGAUACAAACAUGCUUUCACUUUGACAGAAAUCGAAAUGCCACAUGUGGUAUUUUAAAAGAGCCAAAACCCAACUCAUGUAUCUAAUUCUUUCCUACAAUCUUAUUAUUAAACACCUACAUGAUCAAAAAUACAACUAUAUAUUGAUUACCCCAUUGUCAUAUAUAAAUAUAUAAAAAGACCCUGUAAAUGGAAUUUAAUUUUUGUUGAAGCAACAAAAGAAAUUGGAAAGCUUUUUUUUUCCCUCCCAAAUCUUGGAGCUGAUCAAAAAGAAAUGUUCAUCAUGUCCAUG
rnacentral:misc_RNA from 1 species